CGCAGGCUCGUGGGCGCUGGGGCCGCGGGAAGGGCCGCUCCCAACCUGCGAUGGCGCCGCCCGGCCCCUCCCCCGGGCCCCGCGUGAUCGGGUUUGGCGUGGGAGAGGAAGAAAAGCAAGUGGGAUCGCUGGGAAGCGGCUGGUUUGGGGGAGCGCAGGAAUGGUUCCCGCCCCCUGGUGGCGGAGCAGCUCCUCUAGCGCAUCUGCUCCGCGGGGUCCCCUGCCGCCUCCCACAGUGCUUGACUUUCGCAGGACGCUGGGCAACCUUGAGUCUGGUAAACGAAGAAACCCCGUCCUCCCGCCCCUCCCACCGGCUUUCAUCAGAAUGAAAAAGUGCAGACUGGAUGUCUCGGUUCAGAGUUCCCGAUUCCCAGAAGAGGAGUUUCAUUGUUGUAGUGUGGGCUGUGGUCAAUCAGACAACGCAGAGUGCCUUGUAAUAAAGACGGCCCUGCCGACCCACACUGAGAGAAGUCAUGACCUGAGCAGCCGCUCCGCGAGGGUGUUUCUGUCACUCACACUGCUGUGCACCACAUCUAAUGCCCGCAGUUCGAAGGAGCUGAGGUCCAUUGUCACCUGCAGUUUCAGGGGGGUUCAGUCCAUGGUGGGCUGGUGCCAAGGCGGAAGCAGCGGGGUGUGGAGAAGGAGAACCGCCCACCCACGUCGUGGAGGCCAGGAAGCAGAGAGAGAAGGGAUGUGCAGCUCCCGCGGCGGAUCAAAUGCUGCUACUAGAAGCUAGAGUGGGAAGACAGCUCUGCUCCCUUCGCCCCUCCUCCAUCCGGCCGCCCUCUGCUGCCAGCUGCAGGUCUCACCAGACAGAGCCAGGAUGGCAUGGAACUUGGCACAUUUCCCCUGUGUGGAGCGUGAGGCAUGGCAAGCCUCGCAGUGUCAUCUGUCUCCACAGCUGGUACAGCUGCACCCUGCCCCAGGCUCAGCCCCAGCAGCUGCAGGCCUCAGAACAACUGCAGAAUCCCAGAGGUGGACGCAGCCCUGGCUGCACGGCCCUGGGGCCAGGGUGACCACUCAGCCCCCGGGACACGCUGGCUGGGGCGGGG
rnacentral:lncRNA from 1 species